UCAUCUCCGGGGGUAGAGCACUGUUUCGGCAAGGGGGUCAUCCCGACUUACCAACCCGAUGCAAACUGCGAAUACCGGAGAAUGUUAUCACGGGAGACACACGGCGGGUGCUAACGUCCGUCGUGAAGAGGGAAACAACCCAGACCGCCAGCUAAGGUCCCAAAGUCAUGGUUAAGUGGGAAACGAUGUGGGAAGGCCCAGACAGCCAGGAUGUUGGCUUAGAAGCAGCCAUCAUUUAAAGAAAGCGUAAUAGCUCACUGGUCGAGUCGGCCUGCGCGGAAGAUGUAACGGGGCUAAACCAUGCACCGAAGCUGCGGCAGCGACGCUUAUGCGUUGUUGGGUAGGGGAGCGUUCUGUAAGCCUGUGAAGGUGUGCUGUGAGGCAUGCUGGAGGUAUCAGAAGUGCGAAUGCUGACAUAAGUAACGAUAAAGCGGGUGAAAAGCCCGCUCGCCGGAAGACCAAGGGUUCCUGUCCAACGUUAAUCGGGGCAGGGUGAGUCGACCCCUAAGGCGAGGCCGAAAGGCGUAGUCGAUGGGAAACAGGUUAAUAUUCCUGUACUUGGUGUUACUGCGAAGGGGGGACGGAGAAGGCUAUGUUGGCCGGGCGACGGUUGUCCCGGUUUAAGCGUGUAGGCUGGUUUUCCAGGCAAAUCCGGAAAAUCAAGGCUGAGGCGUGAUGACGAGGCACUACGGUGCUGAAGCAACAAAUGCCCUGCUUCCAGGAAAAGCCUCUAAGCAUCAGGUAACAUCAAAUCGUACCCCAAACCGACACAGGUGGUCAGGUAGAGAAUACCAAGGCGCUUGAGAGAACUCGGGUGAAGGAACUAGGCAAAAUGGUGCCGUAACUUCGGGAGAAGGCACGCUGAUAUGUAGGUGAAGUCCCUCGCGGAUGGAGCUGAAAUCAGUCGAAGAUACCAGCUGGCUGCAACUGUUUAUUAAAAACACAGCACUGUGCAAACACGAAAGUGGACGUAUACGGUGUGACGCCUGCCCGGUGCCGGAAGGUUAAUUGAUGGGGUCAGCGCAAGCGAAGCUCUUGAUCGAAGCCCCGGUAAACGGCGGCCGUAACUAUAACGGUCCUAAGGUAGCGAAAUUCCUUGUCGGGUAAGUUCCGACCUGCACGAAUGGCGUAAUGAUGGCCAGGCUGUCUCCACCCGAGACUCAGUGAAAUUGAACUCGCUGUGAAGAUGCAGUGUACCCGCGGCAAGACGGAAAGACCCCGUGAACCUUUACUAUAGCUUGACACUGAACAUUGAGCCUUGAUGUGUAGGAUAGGUGGGAGGCUUAGAAGUGUGGACGCCAGUCUGCAUGGAGCCGACCUUGAAAUACCACCCUUUAAUGUUUGAUGUUCUAACGUUGACCCGUAAUCCGGGUUGCNGACAGUGUCUGGUGGGUAGUUUGACUGGGGCGGUCUCCUCCUAAAGAGUAACGGAGGAGCACGAAGGUUGGCUAAUCCUGGUCGGACAUCAGGAGGUUAGUGCAAUGGCAUAAGCCAGCUUGACUGCGAGCGUGACGGCGCGAGCAGGUGCGAAAGCAGGUCAUAGUGAUCCGGUGGUUCUGAAUGGAAGGGCCAUCGCUCAACGGAUAAAAGGUACUCCGGGGAUAACAGGCUGAUACCGCCCAAGAGUUCAUAUCGACGGCGGUGUUUGGCACCUCGAUGUCGGCUCAUCACAUCCUGGGGCUGAAGUAGGUCCCAAGGGUAUGGCUGUUCGCCAUUUAAAGUGGUACGCGAGCUGGGUUUAGAACGUCGUGAGACAGUUCGGUCCCUAUCUGCCGUGGGCGCUGGAGAACUGAGGGGGGCUGCUCCUAGUACGAGAGGACCGGAGUGGACGCAUCACUGGUGUUCGGGUUGUCAUGCCAAUGGCACUGCCCGGUAGCUAAAUGCGGAAGAGAUAAGUGCUGAAAGCAUCUAAGCACGAAACUUGCCCCGAGAUGAGUUCUCCCUGAC
rnacentral:rRNA from 1 species